rnacentral:lncRNA from 15 species
GAAUGAUUGAGAGCAGGUGAGACAGCAGACAGCAGGUGAGGAGAAUGGAGGCCGCACCCUCAUCAACACACAGGGAAGGAGGAGGAGCAAAGGGAGCAGGAGGGGAGCAGAGCCAUGACACACAUCUGCAGUGCGCCACCUGUGUGCGUCUCACUGUUAGUAUGAUACUAUGGUUGACACAGUGGUCACAUUUAUAACUAUUUGCAGCCCUUGGAGCAAAUACUGAGACUGCUUCAUUAUAUUGAUCUGUGGCAGUCGGACUUCAUUCCAGAGAGCUGCUUUAUCAAACUCUGAACCUGAUCCUUCUCUGCCUCCUUUCAGUCCAGUGACUGCUGUCUGUGUCCGGUGGGAAGCCAUUUACUUAUUUCAGCUUUUAAAGGUCCAGUGCGUAGGUCGAUAAAAACGUCUCAUUCUAAGUUUUUACAGGAAGGUGAAGAUGUUUGUGGUGUUUGUGAUCCUCGUGCACGUUUCCCAGCAUGCCUCAACUGUGGAUCUGUAUGAGGGGGAGGAGUUUGUCCUGCUGCCCUGUGAGUUUCAAACCUUUGAGAUGAUCUACCCCACAGUGGUGUGGAGCCGCUGUGAACUCAAUCCUCCAACCGUCCACCAGCGUCAGCAGGAAGGUGAUGAACUCAAAGACCAAAACCAGCUUUACAGCGGCCGAACAUCCAUGAUGGCUGACGCUCUGGAAACUGGAGACCUCAGCCUCAAUCUGACAAAACUCCGCCUCUCUGACAGCGGCACCUACACCUGCACUGCAGGACAACGGAGAGUGAGUGAAGUACAGCUGCAGAUCAAAGGUCAGCAACAAACCUUAAAACCUAUUCUAGAUUGGUGA